UAGCCCUUGUCCUUCUGCCUUAG
rnacentral:miRNA from 1 species